rnacentral:rRNA from 1 species
UACGAAGGAUCCAAGCGUUAUCCGGAUUUAUUGGGUUUAAAGGGUGCGUAGGCGGAUUGUUAAGUCAGUGGUGAAAUCUUGCAGCUUAACUGUAAAAUUGCCAUUGAUACUGAUGAUCUUGAGUACAUUUGAAGUGGGCGGAAUAUGUCAUGUAGAGGUGAAAUUCUUAGAGAUGACAUAGAACACCGAUUGCGAAGGCAGCUCACUAAACUGUAACUGACGCUGAGGCACGAAAGCGUGGGGAUCAAACAGG